rnacentral:rRNA from 1 species
GAGGAAAAGAAACCAACAGGGAUUGCCCUAGUAACGGCGAGUGAAGCGGCAACAGCUCAAAUUUGAAAUCUGGCCCUUUCAGGGUCCGAGUUGUAAUUUGUAGAGGGUGCUUUGGUGUUGACUACGGCCUAAGUUCCUUGGAACAGGACGUCACAGAGGGUGAGAAUCCCGUAUGUGGCUGCUAGCCUUCACCGUGUAAAGCCCCUUCGACGAGUCGAGUUGUUUGGGAAUGCAGCUCUAAAUGGGAGGUAAAUUUCUUCUAAAGCUAAAUACUGGCCAGAGACCGAUAGCGCACAAGUAGAGUGAUCGAAAGAUGAAAAGCACUUUGGAAAGAGAGUCAAAAAGCACGUGAAAUUGUUGAAAGGGAAGCGCUUGCAGCCAGACUUGCCUGUAGUUGCUCAUCCGGGCUCUUGCCCGGUGCACUCUUCUAUGGGCAGGCCAGCAUCAGUCUGGGCGGUCGGAUAAAGGCCCUGGGAAUGUAGCUCUCUUCGGGGAGUGUUAUAGCCCAGGGUGUCAUGCGACCAGCCUGGACUGAGGUCCGCGCAUCUGCUAGGAUGCUGGCGUAAUGGCUGUAAGCGGCCCG